UCUGUGGAGCAGCUAUGGGGCCAAUGGAGGGAGGCAAUGAAGCUGUGCCCAGGCUGGUGACCAGUGUCCCUGCUCUGAGACCUCACUCUGUCGCUGCUUAAAGUUCAUACCAGCUGCCUGCUAAGUCCCCUGGGGGGAAAGCUGGGUAUAAAUCAUGACCAGGAAAAAAGGAUUGGACAUCAGGUUGCUCGUGGCUUCUAAGAAAGCCCAGCAGGGCCACAGACUUGGAUCCUUCUGCCAGCAUCAGAGGAGCAACGAGUUCGGUUCCCAGCGCUCACAUCAGGUGGCUCACAGCUUUCUGCAACUCCAGCUCCAGGAGAUCUGAUGCCCUCUAACCUCUGCUGGCUCCUGCAAGCAAGUGGUGCACAUAAACCUGUGAAGGCACACAUGCGCGCACGCACACACACACGUGCACAUCUUUGAAAAAAAAAAAUCCUUGCUAUGAGGUCUUACAUUGUGUAAGAGCUCGAGCAGGGACUGCUGGACACCAAGGAAGGAACAUUCUAGCCCUAGAUGACUCUCGGCUGAAAGUUGCCUCCAAGGGCAUUAGCCUGUUUGGUGCAUAGGCUACCUCUCUAUGCUUAGCAUAGAAUAUAUAGGUGGGGAAUGAAUAAUGGCUGAAUGAGUGAAUCUGGGCAGGGGUGAUGGUAGAUUCCAU